rnacentral:lncRNA from 1 species
UUAAGUGUAGCAUUCUCUAAUUGUAAUUGAAGAACAAAUAACAUGAUUUACAAAGGAGAUCAAGAAGCUAUUCAGUAUUCAGAAAUCUAAAAGAAAAACAAACAUAAUACUAAUGAAUUAGCGCAACUUUAAAACUUACAAGACAUUGCCAAAUAAGUACUAAUUAAAUACAAAAACAGAAUUGAUACCAUAGAAGCCGUUGAGGUUGAAGUUUUCAUUAAAGAUUAGCAAACAGUGACAGUGAAGAUUCAUCUCAUUCUUUCCAGUUAUAGGAAGCUCGGUCGACAACUAAAUAGUCUCCCCUGAUAUCCUUUACAACUCGAAGGUCAUCAUCCAGGUAUACAGUAUCAAAC